rnacentral:rRNA from 1 species
AUUGAACGCUGGCGGCAGGCCUAACACAUGCAAGUCGAACGGUAACAGGAAGCAGCUUGCUGCUUUGCUGACGAGUGGCGGACGGGUGAGUAAUGUCUGGGAAACUGCCUGAUGGAGGGGGAUAACUACUGAAACGGUAGCUAAUACCGCAUAACGUCGCAAGACCAAAGAGGGGGACCUUAGGGCCUCUUGCCAUCGGAUGUGCCCAGAUGGGAUUAGCUAGUAGGUGGGGUAACGGCUCACCUAGGCGACGAUCCCUAGCUGGUCUGAGAGGAUGACCAGCCACACUGGAACUGAGACACGGUCCAGACUCCUACGGGAGGCAGCAGUGGGGAAUAUUGCACAAUGGGCGCAAGCCUGAUGCAGCCAUGCCGCGUGUAUGAAGAAGGCCUUCGGGUUGUAAAGUACUUUCAGCGGGGAGGAAGGGAGUAAAGUUAAUACCUUGGCUCAUUGACGUUACCCGCAGAAGAAGCACCGGCUAACUCCGUG